rnacentral:rRNA from 1 species
ACGGGUGAGUAAUACGUAGGAACCUAUCCUUAAGAGGGGGACAACCAAGGGAAACUUUGGCUAAUACCGCAUAAUCUUUUAGGAGGAAAGUUGCCAGCAAUGGUGACGUUUAAGGAGGGGCCUGCGUCCGAUUAGCUAGUUGGAGAGGUAAGAGCUCACCAAGGCGAUGAUCGGUAACUGGUCUGAGAGGACGACCAGUCACACUGGGACUGAGACACGGCCCAGACUCCUACGGGAGGCAGCAGUGGGGAAUAUUGGACAAUGGGGGCAACCCUGAUCCAGCGAUGCCGCGUGGGUGAAGAAGGCCUUCGGGUUGUAAAGCCCUUUAGGUUGGGAAGAAGAUUUCGUGGUGAUAAGCCACGGAUGAUGACGGUACCGACAGAAUAAGCACCGGCAAACUCUGUGCCAGCAGCCGCGGUAAUACAGAGGGUGCGAGCGUUAAUCGGAGUUACUGGGCGUAAAGGGUGCGUAGGCGGUGGAAUGAGUGUGAUGUGAAAGCCCCGGGCUUAACCUGGGAAGCGCAUCGCAACGAUUUCACUGGAGUAUUAGAGAGGGUGGCGGAAUUUCCGGUGUAGCGGU